CGGGCGCUGGAGCGGCGGGCCGCCCUGAGGAAGCGGCGGCGGCCGAGGCGGCGACCGCAGCCGGGAGGUAGCGGCCUGACGAGGGACGGGCCGCUGCCCUCUCGGACAGCCGCGGCGGAAGAGAAAGAUGGCGGAGGCCUCGGCAGCCGGGGCGGGCGCGGGCGCCGCUGUUGCCGCGCACCGGUUUUUCUGCCACUUUUGCAAGGGCGAGGUCAGCCCGAAACUACCGGAAUAUAUUUGUCCCAGAUGUGAAUCAGGCUUUAUUGAAGAAGUGACAGAUGAUUCCAGUUUUGUAGGUGGUGGCAGCAGCCGGAUAGACAAUAGCACAUCAACACACUUUGCAGAGCUCUGGGAACAUUUGGACCACACGAUGUUUUUCCCAGACUUCAGACCAUUUCUAAGUAGCAGUCCACUGGACCAAGAUAAUAGAGCCAAUGAGAGGGGUCACCAAACUCAUACCGACUUCUGGGGACCAAGUCGGCCUCCACGGCUGCCAAUGACUCGAAGAUAUAGAUCGCGGGGAAGUACUCGUCCUGAUAGAUCCCCAGCUAUUGAAGGCAUAAUACAGCAGAUAUUUGCAGGAUUCUUUGCAAAUUCUGCAAUUCCUGGAUCCUCACAUCCUUUUUCCUGGAGCGGGAUGCUGCACUCCAACCCUGGGGACUAUGCCUGGGGUCAGACAGGGCUUGAUGCCAUUGUAACCCAGCUUUUAGGACAACUGGAAAACACAGGGCCUCCCCCGGCUGACAAAGAAAAGAUCACAUCUCUUCCAACAGUGACAGUAACUCAGGAACAAGUUGAUAUGGGUUUAGAGUGUCCAGUGUGCAAAGAAGAUUACACAGUUGAAGAGGAAGUCCGGCAGUUACCCUGCAACCACUUUUUCCACAGCAGUUGUAUUGUGCCGUGGUUAGAACUGCAUGACACGUGUCCUGUGUGUAGGAAGAGCUUAAAUGGUGAGGACUCUACUCGGCAAACCCAGAACUCUGAGGCCUCUGCAAGCAACAGAUAUAGCAGUGACAGCCAGCUACACGACCGAUGGACUUUCUGAAGCUGAAAAGCCCGCAUCUGAGCCACAGCUGUGGUAGUCUUCUUAUCACAGCUGUCAAUUGUAUCAAAACAGAAAAGUAGUAGGUGGAUUUAGGAAUCGCAUAAGAAACCCCAACCCAUAAUAUUAAUGCAAGAGAGUACGAGUGGGAGAGAGGGGCAGAGAAAUAGAGAGAGAAUCCUAACCCUCCACACUGAGUGUGGAGCCCGAAGCAAGGCUCGAUCCCAUGACCCUGGCAUCAUGACCUGAGCCAAAAUCAAGAGUCAGACACUCAACCAACUGAGCCACCCAGGCACCCCAGGAAGCAUACUCGUAUGGAGAGUUUCCAGAAUGAGUCUCACGUAAGUUCUGAGGCAGGAACUUGAGGGAAUAUAUCACAAGUGGCCAUCCUGUGGGGGGAAAGUGUAGCUUAUAGUAAUGUCAGCGUCUUAGCACUCAGCCUGGGAAGCACAGGGCUGCUCCAAGGGUUUAAAGGAGACUGUGUACAAGUGGAGAUGUUUUCUAGGAUCCACUUAGAGCCCUUGUCUUAUCCAAAGGACAUUAUGAGGUUUUGAUCUCUCAUACCUGCCAGAUAUAUGGAAUUAUAGUCAUUCAACUCUAAGAUUGUAUACAUAAAAACUUUAUAACGUUUUGCCAAAUUGCACUUAGUUGGUAUCCACGGAAGUAGAGUCUAUAUGUUUGUUGCCUUUCCUGUUUCAGCUGCGUAUUUGUGACUCAUGGGGUGUAGGAUUGUGGUUCUUUACCUUUUCUAAUAAGAUGUACCAAUUUUAGGGUCCAAAAAUUAUUAGACUCCUCAUAACAAGAUGAUUGUUGUAUUUUUAGGAUUUUUUAAUGAAAAAAUACAUAACAAAAGCUGCUGUGAUUUCAGUAAUGCUUUUAUUUUUUUUAGUAUUUUUCAUUAAGUUUUUUUAAAUUUAAGUAAUCUGUACACGCCAUGUGGGGCUUGAACUCACAACCCCGAGAUCAAAAGUCAUAUGCUGUUCUGACCAAGCCAGCCAGACGCCCCUCCGUAAUGCUUUUAAAUCAGUUUGUCUUUAUUAGUAACACCAUAAUCUAUAUCCAGUUGAAAUAUAGUAUAUAAAUAUUUGUAAGCUAGUAUUAUUUAUUCAGAGUGAAGGUAAUGCUGAAGUCGAUUCUUUGUAAUAAUUCCGUGGCCUCACAGAGGUUCACAUUCCAUGCAUGGGUUGUGAAUCACUCCUAUAGACUGAGGUUAAGAUGUGUGUUCAGAAAACGACCUAUUCAUGGAUGGAAAUUUGUAGGCUUAUUUGAAAUCAGUGGUAUCAAUAAUUUCUGAAGGCAAGAUAGAAGUAUUUCACAUUUCCAUUUUAACCAAAUCUUUAGAUAAGCAGAAUAAACAAAACAAAUUCUUUAGAAAUGAGACUUUUUACUGUUGCUUUACUUAUUCUGCUUAGUUCAAGUCAGAGCUAAUAGUCUAAUGUUCUUGAAUGUCUUGACAAGCUUUUGCAGCAAGCAUGUAUCCUUUUACAGAUAUUUAUGUGUGACCUAUAUUAGUAUAGCAAAACGGGUGAAACUUUUUCUAUAGCUUCUUUGUGAAAUUUCCAGUGAUUGUGUAAUAUUGACAGAUUUCAGAAGAUUCUUUGAAUAGUAAAAAGCAAAAGAUGUCAUCCAUGUGAGCUUAAAAUUUAGAAACACAGAACAUACAUAAAACCGGUAGAGAAAGAUUAAAGUGAACAUAAUAUAAUGGAGAAAGCUUUGGAGACUUUGGAGUCCAUAUUCAAAUGGCUUUAGGUUUAAAAUCCAGAAUCUCAUUUGAACCUCAGAGCAAUCCUGUGGAAACGGAAGAUAGCGUAGGCAAGAUCCCAUUUACAGAUAAGUAAACAAAUAGCAUAUCAAAAUUUCAUUGGCCCAAGGACCCAGAGCUGGUACAUUGCAAAGCCAGAGUUUGAAUCCAGAUGUUUUGACUCCAUGCCUACUCUUUUUACCUCCAUAAGGCACAAAAUCCAAAAUCCUUACUUAGUUCGAGGGUCAAGCCAUCACUAAUAAGGGUCUAACCCAUCUUUUUCAGCCUUUUCUCUCCCUCUUCCCACAAACCGUAGCUCCCACAUUUGGCAGGUCCUGGCCAAGGAUCACAGGUAAGGUGUCUGUUUGCUUUUGAUGGCUUCCCAUUUAGCUCCAGUUAAAUUGUCUGUGUUCCUAUCUGUUUAUUCACAAAGUUUCUCCUGUCAGGAAUAUCCUGCCGUCCCCCCAACUCCUUCUCUCACUCCUUGCUUAACUAGGACAAGAGGUCAUCUGUCCAGAGAGAAAGACAAGAGGAUUUGUGACUUUAGGAGAAAAGAGAAGGCUGCAAAUAUUGCUUUGGGCAUUUAUUUAAAAGGAAAGAGAUGUGACCAAAGAGAUGGACAAAAACAUGGUUGAAGCUGGGCACUUAUGCUCCGUGUUGCUGCUUGGCACACCGCUGUUUCUUCCUUCAGCUGCGCUGGGUGGGGGUGGGGGGGGUUCUGCCCAAUGCCAGGGUCUCUUCAUUUCCUUGGUUUCGUGCUGAGUCAGUCACUGGCUCUGGCUUUCUUCUCCUACCUAUCUUUGCCUGUUUCUUCUCUCUUCUUUCUAGUGUCAAAUAAAAAUCUCUUCCAAAAAAGUUGGUGUUCUCAUUUUGUUUGGCUUCCUUGUUUACUGUGUUGGAGGAGGGGGAAGGAAAACGUUUUUCUUGGGCACAAAACCACACAUACUUACCCAAUAUUUGAGUGAGAACUGUACAUCGUCCACUUUUGUAACAGCUGUUCUUUUAACUGGUGACAGGGUGGGAAGAAAGCUUUGAUCUGGUGGUGAGGAGAGCAGGUCAAGGAAUACGCUCAUUUGACCCACCUUCUAUUCCCCAGAUUCUUGGCAUAUUUAGCAUCUCUUUCCCUGUGCUGUCUUCUCUGUAUGUGGCAAUGUGAAAGGCAGCAAGCUACAGAGUCAGGCUAAUCUUGCUGUAACUUUUUUUUUUUUUUUAAGUUUCUGGCACAGGCUUACAAAGCUGUAGGAAGAAAAAAGAAAGUUGGUAUUACUGCCACACAACUUAGAUACCCGAUGUAAUUCAUUAUUUGGUCCUUGUGACUCAGGAGGGAAUGGAAAGGAAAGAAGGAAGGGGUUAUAUGAGUUGUAUCUUAUUGCUAACAUUGCACUUGCGUCCUCUAGCAAAUCUGGCUGGUUUUGGUGGAAGUGGGGAGGACGCCAACCUUUGAGGUCUCUUUGCAGGAAAGUAGGGCAAUCAAAGAAGAAAUCAGUGCCACUCAAAAAGUUGCAGGUGGAUUCUCCAUGUGUAGCACCAAAGGCUGGCACAGUGUUAGGAGAGGGACACUCACUGAAGGUGGUUUCAUGAGCGGAGGGAGGCCCAGAGAUCCAGGGAACUCCCUCAUCAUUGUUUCGAUCAUGUGUAAGAUGGUAACUUGAUCUGCGUGAUCUCUUUGGACCUGAGAAAACGUGUCCAAAAGGAUGCCUCCUGAACAGUGCCUCUUCCGUAGUUCUGUUAGGUCUUGAGUUGGGGGGAGAAGGAUAAAAGGCACCAACUAUCAAAAGUUCAUUCUUAGCACCCGAUUGGAAAGGGGAAAGCAGAGAGAUUCUUUGCUCUAGCAUAACUUGGAAGUCAAAGGUGGUAAGCGGUCAUAGAUUGCAAUUUCCUUUUCAGAGUUUUUAUUUAUGAAGAAAUGACAUUUAUUUUACUGACAGAGUAGCCCGACCAUCUGAGGGAAUUUAGAUUCAGUAAAGAAUUCGGUCUAAAGGGUCAGACUGCUUGAUAUUCACCAGUUUCCACUUGACAACUGUCACAGGCUUCCAUUUGGCAACUCCUUGCCAAGGAUCACAGAUAAGGUCUUUUGCUAUUUUGCAGUUAAGGGACUGGAGUAGGGAGUUCUAGGUGGUCCUCUUUCUGGAAAUGGGAGGAGGUAAUCUCAGAAUGGGGAGGGUGGUAAAGGAGAGAGAGAAGGUGCUUAGCAUAUAGUAGGUAAUUACUGAGAGCAUACGGUUUUAGAGUGAGAAGGUCCUGUGUUAAUACCCGUGAACUGGAGAAACAAUCUCUUUGUGCCUGUUUCUUGAUCAGGGAAUGUUUGCCCAGAACAAUGAGAUGAGGUUAGAAUCCCCAUAUGUAAAACCUAACCCAUCAUACGAGUUUUCUUUUAAAAAAACGAAUUUAUUAAGAGCUUACUAUGUGCCUGGUACUGUCUUUGUUGGGGUAAAUGCAUUUAUAGAGCUUACAUUCUGGUGGCACACGAACUGUGGUAGUUAUUGAUUAGAGGAAAGCUUAAAUAAAAUGGAAUUAGGAAUGCCAAGGACAGGCAAAAUCCUGCAUCAGUGCUGAUUAUACAAAAAUGUAAUGGCAAAUCAUGAGUUACAGUCUCUGUUACCUAAUAGGGAAAUUUGUGAUCUGCAGAGGACUCAGUUCCAAGUGUUUAUAUACUCUGCCCAUCACCCUUUGCCAAGGAGCUGCACUUCUACAACCCACCUCCAGACCCAGUCUGUCUCUUGCCUUGUUUUUCACCUAAUAGGUAAAUACCUCUUGCCUUUACUUGUAGCCUGCUGUUGGUCCAAUGGGGAGAGGCAGCUGUAUUUAUUUAUUUGCCUCUCCUACAAGUUUUAUUUCCUAACAGGUCUGACCUCCUAUCCAGUGGAAAAUGUGUUUCAUCCAUCUUCCUCUGGGUAAUAUGAAGUCUUGAGUCCCUUUGGACCAGUUUUGCCCUCAUGUUGGUUCGAUGGUUUCCUGUGGACGGCCAGGGCUUGAGCAGCAUUUCAGUCUCCCACUCUAGUCUCCCUUUCCACCCAUCACCUCCUGGAGGAUACUCUAGGUGUCAAAGGUGUAGCACCCUCAUUGUAGGUGCUUCAGGCUCUUCUGUACAUACCUUGAAGGGCCAGCAGGCUAGUGGCCAGCAUCACCCAGACCUUUUGCAGGAAGCCUGAACUGGGAGUGCCUUGACUGUGAGUGAACUCGGGGUGUCUUCUUUGCUUCAAUCCUUUGACUGUGUAGUUCCCUGCCUCUGGUUCAAAAGAGAAUCAGUGGAUCAGGUGAGGGUUUCAGAAAUCAUUAAUACCUCCUUUUGCAUCAUCUCAGGACAGUUGGGGGUUUUUUUUGUUCGUUUUGUUUUUUGUUUUGGUUUUUGUUUUUCGUUGUUUGUUUGUUUGUUUCAUCUCCAAGGAUAGCUCUCAGCACAAUUUAUUCCCCAAAUAAAUAUUUUUUAACAUUUAUGGGUAGUGAUGAUGAUUUACUUAAUUAAGCAGCAGUGAACUGAUACAGAAUCUACUGUGUGUCACACUGGGGAUACAAACAGGCCUACCUUAAAGGAACUUUAUUAUUUUUUUUUUUCAUGUUUUAUUUGAGAGAGAGAGCAUGAGCAGGGGAGGGGCAGAGAGAGGGAGAGAGAAACCCAAGCAGGCUCUGUGCCGUCAGUGCACAGCCUGAUGCAGGGCUCCAACUCACAAACCAUUGAGAUCAUGACCUGAGCCAAAAUCAAGAGUCAGACGUUUUUUAACUGAGCCACCCAGGCACCCCUUGAUUGUACCUUUUAAAAUCUGUCUUAUUUUCUUAAAAAAUGUUUUAAUAUUUAUUUAUUUUUGAGAGAGAGAGUGCAAGCUGAAGAGGGGCAGAGAGAGAGAGAGGGAGACACAGAAUCCGAAGCAGGCUCCAGGCCCUUAGCUGUCAGCACAGAGCCUGACACGGGGCUCGGGCUCAUGAACCGUGAGAUCAUGACCUGAGCCAAAGUCAGACGCCUAACCGACUGAGCCACCCAAGCGCCCGAGUCUUGUUAGACAGCUAACAUAGCUUAGUCACCUUGGGCUUGGUUGCCCCCAAAUCUCAUUUAAAAACUAUCUUCUGGAGUGUGUCAAGCAGUUUAGCAGAAGUUAAAAUCUUGGGCUUUGGAAUAGAUCUGGGUUUUUAUCUACCGUUUACUAGCUGAAUGAACUUACCCAGAUUAGCUUUGAGCCUGACUUUUCACGUGACAAGAUUAGGCCCAACCUCAAAAAGGCCAUGAAGAUCGAAAGAAUUGAUCUAUCAUUCAGCGCAAUGCCUGGCACACAGUAAGCACUCAGUAAAUGGUAGACAUUGUUUACAGACACUAUGUUACCUGUCCAGCUUUGUUUCACCCUCCAAAAGGAACCUCAUCUCUGCAUUUGGUGAGCAUCCAUAUGUGCUGACACUAAUACUUAAAUAUACCGAGAGAAUGAGAAAGGCAUUUUAUCUCACAGCCAUCACAAGUAGAAAUGCUUAGGGUGUAUUAGGAGAACGUGACUAGGUUAUAGACUACAUAGAUCAGCUUAUAAAGGAGAAGGGCUUUUCUGCUCCGAUUCGGUUCUGCAAGCUUAGCACUGUGCCUGUGGGAUGCACAAUCAACAGGACAAGUAUGAGAAGAACAACAGAGGAGUUUCCACUAGUAAA